rnacentral:tRNA from 1 species
UGAAUAAUAGUUAAAUUUAUAACAUUUAAAUUGCAUUUAAAAAUUAUAUUAAAAAUAUUUAUUUUU